AGGAGCCGUAUGCGGUGAAAAUCUCAUGUACGGUUCUGUAGAGUGGCAGUAAGGAUGACUUAUCUGUCAACUUUUCCAUUAUUAC
rfam:Cicer arietinum chromosome Ca3, whole genome shotgun sequence.